rnacentral:lncRNA from 1 species
AUGGCACUUGAGCAAGGAAGAUUGGCUGAGUUCCAUGGCAAGAACUUGGAUGAAAUUACAAUUAAUCCAGAUGGUAUGUUUUCAGAUUUGUAUCUCCUUUGUCUAUCUUUUUUCCAUCCUUUCUUUUGUUUGAUCACAUUUAAAAGCUGUACCGGUAUGUCUCCCACAGAAAAAGUUCUGGAUUGUGAUGAGGAAGAUGAGAAGAGAGAGGAAGAAAACUGUUCAUCUGCUGUUAAUGAGCAACCAGCAGACGAGACAAUUCCACCUACUGAAGGGAAUGAAUUCCCAUCAACAAUCAAGACACGCAAACUGCCAUCAGCAGAGGAAGUGGUAUCUUCUGAAGCCUGUGCUGUAAGACCUUCUUACAAAGGUGAAUUUUUACACAUAAUACAUUUCUCUCCAUCUCGUUCCUCUAUCUUUCUCUAUUCUAGUAACGAAUAGAUUGAGCACCUGAAAUGAAUCACAAAAGAUUUCCUCCUCCUCUUGACACCCCUCCAACUGGUAACACUCUAGGCAACAGCCUAGCCUUCUGAGAGUGUGAAUAGGUUAAACAUUGUAAUUAACAGAUGGAUGGAUAGUAAAACCCAGUAAUUACUAAUUUUGUGGAAGUUGAUGUGUGAAAAGCUAGUUACUAGUUGCAAGCCAGGCUAAAGUCAAUUAAAACUGCCCAAAACUAGAGGGUCCUUCAACUAUAGUUUAUAACUUUUUCCAGGACCUGGGCCAUCAAGCAAUCAUUAUUGAUGGACCCUGUCUUAGUAUCUUAUUAAUAGCUUUUUUUCUUUUUUGCAAGUCCUAGUCUGUGAUAAAGCCUUCAACAGCUUUAUUUCACCACCACCACACUAUGGUUUUAUGUUAACUCAGGAUUUUGAGCGCCAUUACAGGACAUGUCUCAACUAUUGUGGGCACAUGCAGUGGAGCCAGGUAGUUAUUUAGAUUCA